rnacentral:misc_RNA from 1 species
UUUCCGUAGGUGAACCUGCGGAAGGAUCAUUCAUAAUAAAGUGUUUUAUGGCACUUUUUAAAAAUCCAUAUCCACCUUGUGUGCAAUGUUAGAUCUCGUCAAUCUUGGCGAGAUUUUUAUACAUCAACUCAUUUUUAACUAAUUUGUCUGAAAAAUAUUAUGAAUACUUAAUUCAAAAUACAACUUUCAACAACGGAUCUCUUGGCUCUC